rnacentral:rRNA from 1 species
CAGGACGAACGCUGGCGGCGUGCCUAACACAUGCAAGUCGAACGGGGAUGAUCGGAACGACUCGGUGCGAAGAUCAUCCAGUGGCGGACGGGUGAGUAACGCGUGAGGAACCUGCCUCGAACUGGGGGAUAACAGCGAGAAAUCGUUGCUAAUACCGCAUAAGACCACAUGGCCGCAUGGCCAAGGGGUCAAAGAUUAUAUCGGUUUGAGAUGGACUCGCGUCUGAUUAGCUAGUUGGUGGGUAACGGCCUACCAAGGCAGCGAUCAGUAGCCGAGCUGAGAGGCUGAUCGGCCACACUGGGACUGAGACACGGCCCAGACUCCUACGGGAGGCAGCAGUGGGGAAUAAUUGGGCAAUGGGGGGAACCCUGACCCAGCAACGCCGCGUGAAGGAAGAAGGUUUUCGGAUUGUAAACUUCUGUCCUUGGGGACGAAACAAAUGACGGUACCCAAGGAGGAAGCCCCGGCCAACUACGUGCCAGCCGCCGC